UACCAGCACCCCGAGUGGUCGGGACGAUUAUUAGGCCUAAAGCAUCCGUAGCCGGUUUUACAAGUCCUCCGUUAAAUCCAGCUGCUCAACAGAUGGGCUGCGGAGGAUACUACAGGGCUAGGAGGCGGGAGAGGCAAGCGGUACUUUAUGGGUAGGGGUAAAAUCCGUUGAUCCAUAGAAGACCACCAGUGGCGAAGGCGGCUUGCCAGAACGCGCUCGACGGUGAGGGAUGAAAGCUGGGGGAGCAAACCGG
rnacentral:rRNA from 1 species